rnacentral:piRNA from 1 species
GCCAGACACUCACCUUGUCUCUUGACCU